UUACAAGAGGAAAAUACAAGAAAAGGGAGCGGUCUCACUGAUUUGGGGGGAACCAAGUGGAAUGAGCACAGUAGCAGAAAGCCCCCUGGUCCCAGACUGUGCCCCCUU
rfam:Otolemur garnettii contig101503, whole genome shotgun sequence.